CUGUUGUUAGGGAAGAACAAGUACCGUUCGAAUAGGGCGGUACCUUGACGGUACCUAACCAGAAAGCCACGGCUAACUACGUGCCAGCAGCCGCGGUAAUACGUAGGUGGCAAGCGUUGUCCGGAAUUAUUGGGCGUAAAGCGCGCGCAGGCGGUUUCUUAAGUCUGAUGUGAAAGCCCCCGGCUCAACCGGGGAGGGUCAUUGGAAACUGGGGAACUUGAGUGCAGAAGAGGAGAGUGGAAUUCCACGUGUAGCGGUGAAAUGCGUAGAGAUGUGGAGGAACACCAGUGGCGAAGGCGACUCUCUGGUCUGUAACUGACGCUGAGGCGCGAAAGCGUGGGGAGCGAACAG
rnacentral:rRNA from 2 species